ensembl:lncRNA
GAAUGUUCCUCCAGUGUGUUAGGAGUUAUGUUUACGUGCGUCUCACCUUGACGUAUAGAAAUGUGCUGUAUGGAGGCUCCUAAACAGUAAAACGUCACCGAAUCAACAUCCGCUGUACAAGUCCCAGCGCGCUCGCUGAUCGACGGCUUCUUGACCAAUCGGAUUCGAGUAUCCAUCAGCACUGCGGUGUAAUAAAGAUACCUGACGAAUAAAAACACUUUCUUAGGGUCCCCGGUCCAAUCCUGAGUUCGGACGACGGACUCAGUGGAGUCACACGUCCUCCUCGUGUCCACGUGGGCUUCCUCCUGGUUCUCCGGUUUCCUCCAACCUUCCAGAAACAUGCCGGCGGGUCGUCCGGUGACUCUAAAUCGCCCCUGGAUGUAAACGAGUGUACGAGAGGCGUUCGCGGUCGUUAAGUGAUAGCUCGGCGUCCCGUCCGGGAUGCAUUCCUGCCUCGUGCCCAGCGUUCUAAAAGAUGAAGGAACGAAUAAACGAGCUUGACUCAUACGUGACUCCCUCUUUUUAUCGUUUUUCUGUACUCUACCUAGUCCGUCACUAUCGAAUCGACGAUGGUGCGAUGUAAGGAAUCCGCAAGUUACGCAGGUUAAAGGUUAAGGUUAAGUUUUAAGGGCGGGGUCAGCGUCC